GACGAACGCUGGCGGCGUGCUUAACACAUGCAAGUCGAGCGGUAAGGCCCUUUCAGGGGUACACGAGCGGCGAACGGGUGAGUAACACGUGGGUGACCUGCCCUCAGCUCUGGGAUAAGCCUGGGAAACUGGGUCUAAUACUGGAUAUGACUCCACGGUGCAUGUCGUGGGGUGGAAAGCCUUGUGCGGCUGAGGAUGGGCCCGCGGCCUAUCAGCUUGUUGGUGGGGUGAUGGCCUACCAAGGCGACGACGGGUAGCCGGCCUGAGAGGGCGACCGGCCACACUGGGACUGAGACACGGCCCAGACUCCUACGGGAGGCAGCAGUGGGGAAUCUUGCGCAAUGGGCGAAAGCCUGACGCAGCGACGCCGCGUGAGGGA
rnacentral:rRNA from 1 species